rnacentral:lncRNA from 1 species
AAAAACUUGCUGGUUUUACGGCUCAGGGGGCAUCACGGAACCUGCCGACAUGUGAUGUCUCCCCCGGACACCCAGCUUUAAAAUUUCUCUCUUGUACUCUUUCCCUUUAUUUCUAGACCGGCCAACACUUAGAGAAAUAGAAAAGAACCUAUGUGAAAUAUCGGGGGCUGGUUUCCCCUGAUAGUGAAGGAGACAGGUUAGAUACACUGGAGCUUCCACACAGGAGAGAGGGAAGGAGCUGGAGAAGAAGGAGCCACAGAUUUUGGAGUACUGCAAAAUGACUUUCCAAAUUGAUGAACCAUGGACUCCAAGCUGGAUAGACACAGAAAUGAAAAGAAGGGACUAAUAGGGAAUAAGACGUGUGAUCCAUGGCCCGAUGGCCCUGAUGGACGUGAAGAUCCACUGUUGUGGGAGGAGUGGAACACUAACACUGAAUGAUGGAGGCUGUGGUCAGAAACAGAUUUGUCUGAAUUUCAGUUGAUCCAGAGCAAGAAAAAGUAAGUGUUCACAUGUGAAAGUCUGUGGGUCCAUUGCAUAGACAAUUAAGAAAUAAUAGAUAACAGAUUCAAGUCAAAUGCAGUACGCAUGUGGGUGUGUGGCCUAGGAUAUUUGGAUUCCAGCCUGUUAAGCCACUGAUAAAGUGAUCUUGGCCAAAUUACAACUUCUGUUGUCUACAUUUGAAGACUCAGGCCCUUUCAGCUCUAAUAUUGUAUAUAAAAGUAAAAGGCGGCCAGGCGCGGUGGCUCACGCCUGUAAUCCCAGCACUUUGGGAGGCGGAGGCAGGCAGAUCAUGAGGUCAGGAGUUUGAGACCAGCCUGGCCAACAUGGUGAAACCCCACCUCUACUAAAAUACAAAAAUUAGCCGGGCAUGGUGGCGGGUGCCUGUUGUCCCAGCUACUCAGGAGGCUGAGGCAGGAGAAUCACUUGAACCCGGGAGGCAGAGGUUGCAGUGAGCCA